rnacentral:tRNA from 1 species
GGAAGGGUGGCCGAGUUGGUUAUGGCGCCAGGUUAAGGUCAGCUUAACAUCUGUAUCCUGGUGGGGCAACCCGCGCGAGUUCGAGUCUCGUCCCUUUCA